rnacentral:tRNA from 1 species
GUCCAGGGAUGGGAAUCGAACCCACAGUGUUCCGCUUACCAGGCAGAUACCAUGUCCACUAGGCUACCCUGGA